CCUACGGGAGGCAGCAGUGGGGAAUCUUGCGCAAUGCGCGAAAGCGUGACGCAGCAACGCCGCGUGGGGGAAGAAGGCCUUCGGGUUGUAAACCUCUUUCAGUUGGGACGAAGGGCUCGCGGUUAAUAGCCGUGGAGUUUGACGGUACCUUCAGAAGAAGCCCCGGCUAACUACGUGCCAGCAGCCGCGGUAAUACGUAGGGGGCAAGCGUUGUCCGGAAUCAUUGGGCGUAAAGAGCGUGUAGGCGGCCCGAUAAGUCCGCUGUGAAAGUCCAGGGCUCAACCCUGGAAUGCCGGUGGAUACUGUCGGGCUCGAAUCCGGAAGAGGUGAGUGGAAUUCCUGGUGUAGCGGUGAAAUGCGCAGAUAUCAGGAGGAACACCAAUGGCGAAGGCAGCUCACUGGGACGGUAUUGACGCUGAGACGCGAAAGCGUGGGGAGCAAACAGGAUUAGAUACCCUGGUAGUCCACGCCGUAAACGAUGGUCACUAGGUNUGGGGGGUGUCGGACUCCCUCCGUGCCGGAGCUAACGCAUUAAGUGACCGCCGNGGNGACGGCGCGAGACAACUACAAGAGUAGAGCGNGAGAGNGCGAGACGACGACGAGGGAGAGG
rnacentral:rRNA from 1 species